rnacentral:rRNA from 1 species
UACGAAGGGGGCUAGCGUUGCUCGGAAUCACUGGGCGUAAAGCGCACGUAGGCGGAUUGCUAAGUCAGGGGUGAAAUCCUGGAGCUCAACUCCAGAACUGCCUUUGAUACUGGCGAUCUUGAGUCCGGGAGAGGUGAGUGGAACUCCGAGUGUAGAGGUGAAAUUCGUAGAUAUUCGGAAGAACACCAGUGGCGAAGGCGACUCACUGGCCCGUUACUGACGCUGAGGCGCGAAAGCGUGGGGAGCAAACAGG